GUGCUCGUUUUGGCAGCACAUGUACUAAAAUUGGAAGGAUACAGAGAAGAUUAGCAUGGCCAUUGCACAAGGAUGACAUGCAAAUUUGUGAAACGUUCCAUAUUUUU
rnacentral:snRNA from 1 species